GGUGCCAGCCGCCGCGGUAAUACCGGCGCCUCAAGUGGUAGUCGCUUUUAUUGGGCCUAAAACGUCCGUAGCCGGUCUGGUGCAUUCGUGGGUAAAUCAACCCGCUCAACGGGUUGAAUUCUGCGAGCACGGCCAGACUUGGGACCGGGAGAGGUGUGGGGUACUCUCAGGGUAGGGGUAAAAUCCUGUCAUCCUGAGAGGACCACCUGUUGCGAAGGCGCCACACUAGAACGGAUCCGACGGUCAGGGACGAAACCUAGGGGCACGAACCGGAUUAGAUACCCGGGUAGUCCUAGGUGUAAACGCUGUGGACUUGAUGUUGGGGGCGCUCCGAGCGCUCUCAGUGUCGAAGCGAAGGUGAUAAGUCCACUGCCUGGGGAGUACGGUCGCAAGGCUGAAACUUAAAGGAAUUGGCGGGGGAGCACUGCAACCUGAGGAUUGUGCGGUUUAAUUGGAUUCAACGCCGGAAU
rnacentral:rRNA from 1 species